AUGCCAAUGUCGGCAUGUACGCCACCGGCUCCGUCUGUUCCUGAGGUCUGCGACGCCUCUUCUGUCUCCUUCUUUGAUGCGGAAGCCCCUCCGCCCGCCAUCUCCCCCUACCGCAUCUCAUCCGGUGCCGACAUCGGCAAGUAUGUCACCGGCAUCGUCCGCCCCCUGAUUCAGCAAUGGCUCUCAUGCAGCAGCGCCGGCGCCCACCAGCUUCACCUCCUUCCCAUCGACGCGCUCCAUGUCCGUCUAAUUCGAGUAUGA
rnacentral:rRNA from 1 species